rnacentral:rRNA from 1 species
UUCCGGUUGAUCCUGCCGGACCUGACUGCUAUCGGAUUGAUACUAAGCCAUGCGAGUCUUUGCAGUAAUGCAAGGCAUACGGCUCAGUAACACGUAGUCAACUUACCCUAUGGACGAGGAUAAUCUCGGGAAACUGAGCAUAAUACUCGAUAGAUCAUAAUGCCUGGAAUGGUUUAUGGUUAAAAUGAUUCGUCGCCAUAGGAUGGGACUGCGGCCUAUCAGCUUGUUGGUGAGGUAAUGGCCCACCAAGGCGAUUACAGGUACGGGCUCUGAGAGGAGAAGCCCGGAGAUGGGUACUGAGACAAGGACCCAGGCCCUAUGGGGCGCAGCAGGCGAGAAAACUUUGCAAUGUGCGAAAGCACGACAAGGUUAAUCCGAGUGAUUUCUGCUAAAGAAAUCUUUUGCAAGUCAUAAAACCACUAGUGAAUAAGGGGUGGGCAAGUUCUGGUGUCAGCCGCCGCGGUAAAACCAGCACCUCAAGUGGUCAGGAGGAUUAUUGGGCCUAAAGCAUCCGUAGCCGGCUCUGUAAGUUUUCGGUUAAAUUCAUGUGCUCAACGCAUGAGCCGCCGAAAAUACUGCAUAGCUAGGGAGUGGGAGAGGUAGACGGUACUCAGUAGGAAGGGGUAAAAUCCUUUGAUCUAUUGAUGACCACCUGUGGCGAAGGCGGUCUACCAGAACACGUUCGACGGUGAGGGAUGAAAGCUGGGGGAGCAAACCGGAUUAGAUACCCGGGUAGUCCCAGCUGUAAACGAUGCAGACUCGAUGAUGCAUUGGCAUAUAGCCAGUGCAGUGUCGCAGGGAAGCCGUUAAGUCUGCCGCCUGGGAAGUACGUACGCAAGUAUGAAACUUAAAGGAAUUGGCGGGGGAGCACCACAAGGGGUGAAGCCUGCGGUUCAAUUGGAUUCAACGCCGGG